rnacentral:rRNA from 1 species
UACGUAGGGGGCAAGCGUUGUCCGGAAUCAUUGGGCGUAAAGCGCGUGUAGGCGGCUUGGUAAGUCUGCUCUGAAAGCCCGGGGCUCAGCCCCGGGAGGCGGGUGGAUACUGUCAAGCUCGAGUCCGGAAGAGGAGUGUGGAAUUCCUGGUGUAGCGGUGAAAUGCGCAGAUAUCAGGAGGAACACCAGUGGCGAAGGCGGCACUCUGGGCCAGUACUGACACUGAGGAGCGAAAGCGUGGGGAGCGAACAGG